rnacentral:rRNA from 1 species
UACGAGGGGGGGCGAGCGUUGUUCGGAAUUAUUGGGCGUAAAGGGCGCGUAGGCGGUCGGAUAAGUCUUGUGUGAAAUCUUCGGGCUCAACUCGAAGUCUGCACAGGAAACUAUCUGGCUUGAGUGUGGGAGAGGUGAGUGGAAUUCCUGGUGUAGCGGUGAAAUGCGUAGAUAUCAGGAGGAACACCUGUGGCGAAAGCGGCUCACUGGACCACAACUGACGCUGAGGCGCGAAAGCUAGGGGAGCAAACAGG